rnacentral:rRNA from 1 species
GACGAACGCUGGCGGCGUGCCUAAUACAUGCAAGUAGAACGCUGAAGAGAGGAGCUUGCUCUUCUUGGAUGAGUUGCGAACGGGUGAGUAACGCGUAGGUAACCCGCCUUGUAGCGGGGGAUAACUAUUGGAAACGAUAGCUAAUACCGCAUAACAAUGGAUGACACAUGUCCUUUAUUUGAAAGGGGCAAUUGCUCCACUACAAGAUGGACCUGCGUUGUAUUAGCUAGUAGGUGAGGUAAUGGCUCACCUAGGCGACGAUACAUAGCCGACCUGAGAGGGUGAUAGGCCACACUGGGACUGAGACACGGCCCAGACUCCUACGGGAGGCAGCAGGAGGGAAUCUUCGGCAAUGGGGGCAACCCUGACCGAGCAACGCCGCGUGAGUGAAGAAGGUUUUCGGAUCGUAAAGCUCUGUUGUAAGUCAAGAACGGGUGUGAGAGUGGAAAGUUCACACUGUGACGGUAGCUUACCAGAAAGGGACGGCUAACUACGUG